AUCAGAAUUUCUUUCAGAAUUUCUCUCAAAGAUGGGAGAAAUGCUUUUAUUAAAUCAAAACCAAUUGGUGGCGAAUGGCUCGUCCAUUCGUCCAUCGUUUGUUUUGGUGACUCUGAAUAAUUUUAUCCUGAUCGCAUAGUUAUCUAGCACCGGUGACGCAUCUUUCAAAUAUCUGCCUUAUUAACUGUCGAUAGUAGAUUCUGGGCCUACCAUGGUUGUAAUGGGUAACGGAGAAUCAGGGUUCGAUUCCGAAGAGGGAACCUGAAAAACAGCUAUUAUAUUCAAGAAAGGCAGUAGGCGCGCAAAUUAUCCACUUACGGCACAGUGAAGUAGUAACGAAAAAUAACGAUACGGGAUUCAUCCGAGGCUCCGUAAUGGGAAUUUAAAUCCUUUCCAUUUUAAAUCCUUUAACGGACCAAUUAGAGGGCAAAUCUGGUGCCAGCAGCCGCGGUAAUUCCAGCUCCAAUAGCAUAUAUUAAAGUUGGUUAUGGUUAAAAACAUAGUUAAAUCUGUAUGUCACAGUGUCGGUUCAUAGUAUCGGUGGACUUACCUCCUUGCGGGCGGUCCAACUAAUAUCCCAUCGCGGUGCUCUUCACUUGAGUGUCGAGGUAGGCAAAUACGUUUACUUUGAAAAACUUAGUGCUUAAAGCAGGUUAUCUCUCUGUUUGCAUAAAUAAUGGAAUGGGACUUCAGUUCUAUUUUGUUUCGAAACUUCGAGGUAAUGAUUAAUAGGGAUAGAUAGAGGCAUUCAUAUUGCGAUGCUAGAGGUGAAAUUCUCGUCGCAAGACGCAUGGAAGCGAAAGCAUUUGCCAAAAAUGUUUACAUUAAUCGAGAACGAAAGUUAGAGUUUCGAAGGCGAUCAGAUACUGUCUUAGUUCUAACCAUAAAUGAUGCCAGUCAGCGAUCCGCUGAAGUUCCUCCGAUGACUCGGCGGGCAGCUUCCGGGAAACCAAAACUUUUGGGAAGUAUGGUUGCAAAGCUGAAACUUAAAGGAAUUGACGGAAGGCCACCACCAGAAGUGGAGCCUGCGGCUUAAUUUGACUCAACACGGAAAAUUAGAAUUAAUACACACAGAAUUAAAUUACACAUACACACACACACACACACACACACACACACACACACACACACACACAUAUAAUAUAUUCUUUUAUAUAUAUAUAUAUAUAUAUAUACACAUAAAAUAAGAUCAAUCUUGCACGCACGCACGCACGCACGCACAUAUAUAUAAUUAUUGAUAGCAAUUACAAAUUUAAUGUACACUAAUUAAUUAUAUGAAAUAAAAAUUUUUUUUAUAUUUGCAUGAUAUAUAAUGACAAAUAUUUUAUAUAUUUUAUAGUUCAGUAUAAAUUAUCAUUUCAUUUUAUUAUUAUCGAGUAGAUAAUAGUUUUCUCUAUCUAUAAGUAUUUCUAAUUUAGUAUUACUGUCCAAGAAUUUUAAGAAGGAAAAGAAAUAAAAAAGGUAAACAAUAACAAAAUAAAAACUCAUUGCAUUCCAUAUUAUGUUAUAAAUUGUUUUCUUUAUGAAUUUUAAUCGCGUCACUCAAAAUUCCAACUCGGAUAAUUCCAUUUGCAAUCAUUUUGAUAUAAAAUAAAUCCUAUCUUAUUUACCUCUUUCAAUCUGUAUGAUCUGUU
rnacentral:rRNA from 1 species